UACGUAGGGUGCAAGCGUUAAUCGGAAUUACUGGGCGUAAAGGGUGCGUAGGCGGUUAGUUAAGUCUGUUGUGAAAUCCCCGGGCUCAACCUGGGAAUGGCAAUGGAUACUGGCUGGCUAGAGUGUGUCAGAGGAUGGUGGAAUUCCCGGUGUAGCAGUGAAAUGCGUAGAGAUCGGGAGGAACACCAGUGGCGAAGGCGGCCUUCUGGACCAAUACUGACGCUCAUGCACGAAAGCGUGGGGAGCAAACAGG
rnacentral:rRNA from 1 species